rnacentral:rRNA from 1 species
GACGAACGCUGGCGGCGUGCCUAAUACAUGCAAGUCGAACGCUUCUUUCCUCCCGAGUGCUUGCACUCAAUUGGAAAGAGGAGUGGCGGACGGGUGAGUAACACGUGGGUAACCUACCCAUCAGAGGGGGAUAACACUUGGAAACAGGUGCUAAUACCGCAUAACAGUUUAUGCCGCAUGGCAUAAGAGUCGAAAGGCGCUUUCGGGUGUCGCUGAUGGAUGGACCCGCGGUGCAUUAGCUAGUUGGUGAGGUAACGGCUCACCAAGGCCACGAUGCAUAGCCGACCUGAGAGGGUGAUCGGCCACACUGGGACUGAGACACGGCCCAG